ACUACAAUGGCGGUACAGAGGGUUGCCAAGCCGCGAGGUGGAGCCAAUCCCUUAAAGCCGAUCGUAGUCCGGAUCGUAGUCUGCAACUCGACUACGUGAAGUCGGAAUCGCUAGUAAUCGCAGAUCAGCAUGCUGCGGUGAAUACGUUCCCGGGUCUU
rnacentral:rRNA from 1 species